AUACGGAAGGUCCGGGCGUUAUCCGGAUUUAUUGGGUUUAAAGGGAGCGCAGGCGGAGAUGCAAGCGUGACGUCAAAUUUCGGGGCUCAACCCCGUCUCGCGUCGCGAACUGCGUCCCUUGGUUGCGGGAAGGGGAGGCGGAACUCGUGGUGUAGCGGUGGAAUGCAUAGAUAUCACGAAGAACUCCGAUCGCGAAGGCAGCCUUCCGGCCCGUCAACGACGCUCAUGCUCGAAGGUGCGGGUAUCAAACAGGAUUAGAUGCCCUGGUAGUCCGCACAGUAAACGAUGGACACCCGCGGUUUGGCCUGUAUGGCUGAGCCGCCAAGCGAAAGCGUUAAGUGUCCCACCUGGGGAGUACGCCGGCAACGGUGAAACUCAAAGGAAUUGGCGGGG
rnacentral:rRNA from 1 species